rnacentral:rRNA from 1 species
GGAAUCUUCCACAAUGGACGAAAGUCUGAUGGAGCAACGACGCGUGAGUGAAGAAGGGUUUCGGCUCGUAAAACUCUGUUGUUAAAGAAGAACAUAUCUGAGAGUAACUGUUCAGGUAUUGACGGUAUUUAACCAGAAAGCCACGGCUAACUACGUGUCAG